rnacentral:miRNA from 1 species
CCAGGGAUCUUGUUAAAAUGCAGAUUCUGGCUUAGCAGGCCUGGGGUGCAGCAGUUCUAAAGCUCCCAGGUGAU